GAACGCUAGCGACAGGCUAACACAUGCAAGUCGAGGGCAUCACGGAGUAGUAAUACAACUGGUGGCGACCGGCGCACGGGUGAGUAACGCGUAUGCAACCUACCUAUCAGAGGGGAAUAACCCGGCGAAAGUCGGACUAAUACCGCAUAAAACAGGGGCACCGCAUGGUGAUAUUUGUUAAAGAAAUUCGCUGAUAGAUGGGCAUGCGUUCCAUUAGGUAGUUGGUGAGGUAACGGCUCACCAAGCCGACGAUGGAUAGGGAACUGAGAGGUUGGUCCCCCACACUGGUACUGAGACACGGACCAGACUCCUACGGGAGGCAGCAGUGAGGAAUAUUGGUCAAUGGGCGGGAGCCUGAACCAGCCAAGUCGCGUGAAGGAAGAAGGAUCUAUGGUUCGUAAACUUCUUUUGCAGGGGAAUAAAGUGCAGGACGUGUCCUGUUUUGUAUGUACCCUGAGAAUAAGGAUCGGCUAACUCCGUGCCAGCCGCCGC
rnacentral:rRNA from 1 species